rnacentral:rRNA from 1 species
UACAGAGGGUGCGAGCGUUGUUCGGAAUUAUUGGGCGUAAAGGGCGCGUAGGCGGCGCCACAAGUCACUUGUGAAAACUCUGGGCUCAACCCAGAGCCUGCAGGCGAAACUGUGGUGCUGGAGUAUGGGAGAGGUGCGUGGAAUUCCCGGUGUAGCGGUGAAAUGCGCAGAUAUCAGGAGGAACACCGGUGGCGAAGGCGGGUCUCUGGGCAGUAACUGACGCUGAGGAGCGAAAGCGUGGGGAGCGAACAGG